rnacentral:rRNA from 1 species
CCUACGGGAUGCAGCAGUAGGGAAUCUUCGGCAAUGGACGGAAGUCUGACCGAGCAACGCCGCGUGAGUGAAGAAGGUUUUCGGAUCGUAAAGCUCUGUUGUAAGAGAAGAACGAGUGUGAGAGUGGAAAGUUCACACUGUGACGGUAUCUUACCAGAAAGGGACGGCUAACUACGUGCCAGCAGCCGCGGUAAUACGUAGGUCCCGAGCGUUGUCCGGAUUUAUUGGGCGUAAAGCGAGCGCAGGCGGUUAGAUAAGUCUGAAGUUAAAGGCUGUGGCUUAACCAUAGUACGCUUUGGAAACUGUUUAACUUGAGUGCAAGAGGGGAGAGUGGAAUUCCAUGUGUAGCGGUGAAAUGCGUAGAUAUAUGGAGGAACACCGGUGGCGAAAGCGGCUCUCUGGCUUGUAACUGACGCUGAGGCUCGAAAGCGUGGGGAGCAAACAGGAUUAGAUACCCCAGUAGUC